rnacentral:rRNA from 1 species
ACGCUCGACACCUACAGGAGGCAGCAGUGGGGAAUAUUGCACAAUGGGGGAAACCCUGAUGCAGCGACGCCGCGUGAGUGAAGAAGUAUUUCGGUAUGUAAAGCUCUAUCAGCAGGGAAGAAGAUGACGGUACCUGAGUAAGAAGCCCCGGCUAACUACGUGCCAGCAGCCGGGUAAUCUGAGCGGGCUGGCAAGGC